UACGUAGGGGGCGAGCGUUGUCCGGAAUCAUUGGGCGUAAAGCGCGUGUAGGCGGCCAGGUAGGUCGGCUGUGAAAACUCGAGGCUCAACCUCGAGACGUCGGCGGAAACCAUCUGGCUAGAGUCCGGAAGAGGAGAGUGGAAUUCCUGGUGUAGCGGUGAAAUGCGCAGAUAUCAGGAAGAACACCCGUGGCGAAGGCGGCUCUCUGGGACGGUACUGACGCUGAGACGCGAAAGCGUGGGGAGCGAACAGG
rnacentral:rRNA from 1 species